rnacentral:lncRNA from 1 species
AGUUGGUGAUGAUAAAUGUUCUUGAUGGGAGAACAUCUAUAUAUACAUGAGGAUUUUGGUCCCUUGGCUCAAUCAUCUCUUUGAAGCGAAAGGCUUUCCUACACCAUCUAAAGCGAGAGUUCUGAGCUGAGAAGAACCAAAGUUCAAGAAGAAACCUCUGCAGAAAUUCUUGGCGACAAUGGCUGGAGGUACGCUAUUUCGUUUCCGCAUUAGUUUUAUUGUGUUUCUAUUACAAUGAUUUAGAAACACAAGUUGGC